rnacentral:rRNA from 1 species
AUUAUGUUUCUGCUUUAUGUGCGCAUCCUCUACCUAUUAAGUGUUAAUUAAAUUAAAGGGUUUCUUUUUAAAAUCUUCUAUAACUAAUAAAAAAAUAUGGAAGAUUUUGUUACUUUGAGUAAAUUAGAGUGUUCAAAGCAAACAGAUAUAUAGCAUUUGUGCGUUUGAAUACUACAGCAUGGAAUAACAAAAUUGAACAGGUCAAAACUAUGUUUCUUUUUUUUUAUUUUUGGCUUAGUUACGAUUAAUAGGAGUAGUUUGGGGACAUUUGUAUUCAGAUGUCAGAGGUGAAAUUCUAAGAUUUUCUGGAGACAAACAACUGCGAAGGCAUUUGUCUAAAAUACUUCCAUUAAUCAAGAACGAAAGUUAAGGGAGUGAAGACGAUCAGAUACCGUCGUAAUCUUAACCAUAAACUAUACCGACUAGGUUUUGGAUGAAAGUAAAACAAAUAAGGAUAGUCUCUUCGGGGAUAGUUCUUAGAUUUCUUCCUUCAGUACCUUAUGAGAAAUCAAAGUCUUUGGGUUCUGGGGCGAGUAUUCGCGCAAGCGAGAAAGUUAAAAGAAUUGACGGAAGGGCACCACCAGGCGUGGAGCUUGCGGCUUAAUUUGACUCAACACGGGAAAACUCACUAGUUUAAGACAAGAGUAGGAUUGACAGAUUAAUAGCUCUUUCUUGAUUUCUUGGAUGGUGAUGCAUGGCCGUUUUUAGUUCGUGAAUAUGAUUUGUCUGGUUAAUUCCGAUAACGAACGAGAUCUUAACCUGCUAAUUAGCAGUAAGUACAACAUAUUUCUAUGCUGAAUUUGUAUUUGGAUAAUUUAAAAGGUUUUUUUGCCGUGCAUAUAAUGAGUACGGAAAAAAUGCAUACUGCUACCUUGUACCUAAUAAUACUUGGCGCCUAUGCAUAUUUCCAACCCUCUAUUCCCUGUACCGCAUAAAACUGGAUUAUGAUGCCAUUUCACUUUUAUGUAGAAAUGUAUUUGCUUUUACAUAAAGCUUCUUAGAGGAACGAUUUGUGUCUAACCCCAAGGAAGUUUAAGGCAACCAACCGGGAA